rnacentral:rRNA from 1 species
AACUGCGAAUGGCUCAUUAAAUCAGUUAUCGUUUAUUUGAUAGUACCUUACUACAUGGAUACCUGUGGUAAUUCUAGAGCUAAUACAUGCUGAAAACCCCGACUUCGGAAGGGGUGUAUUUAUUAGAUAAAAAACCAACGCCCUUCGGGGCUCCUUGGUGAUUCAUAAUAACUUAACGAAUCGCAUGGCCUUGCGCCGGCGAUGGUUCAUUCAAAUUUCUGCCCUAUCAACUUUCGAUGGUAGGAUAGUGGCCUACCAUGGUGGCAACGGGUAACGGGGAAUUAGGGUUCGAUUCCGGAGAGGGAGCCUGAGAAACGGCUACCACAUCCAAGGAAGGCAGCAGGCGCGCAAAUUACCCAAUCCCGAUACGGGGAGGUAGUGACAAUAAAUACUGAUACGGGGCUCUUUUGGGUCUCGUAAUUGGAAUGAGUACAAUCUAAAUCCCUUAACGAGGAACAAUUGGAGGGCAAGUCUGGUGCCAGCAGCCGCGGUAAUUCCAGCUCCAAUAGCGUAUAUUAAAGUUGUUGCAGUUAAAAAGCUCGUAGUUGAACCUUGGGUCUGGCUGGCCGGUCCGCCUCACCGCGAGUACUGGUCCGGCUGGACCUUUCCUUCUGGGGAACCCCAUGGCCUUCACUGGCCGUGGGGGGAACCAGGACUUUUACUGUGAAAAAAUUAGAGUGUUCAAAGCAGGCCUUUGCUCGAAUACAUUAGCAUGGAAUAAUAGAAUAGGACGUGCGGUUCUAUUUUGUUGGUUUCUAGGACCGCCGUAAUGAUUAAUAGGGAUAGUCGGGGGCGUCAGUAUUCAGCUGUCAGAGGUGAAAUUCUUGGAUUUGCUGAAGACUAACUACUGCGAAAGCAUUCGCCAAGGAUGUUUUCAUUAAUCAGGGAACGAAAGUUAGGGGAUCGAAGACGAUCAGAUACCGUCGUAGUCUUAACCAUAAACUAUGCCGACUAGGGAUCGGACGGUGUUUCUUUUAUGACCCGUUCGGCACCUUACGAGAAAUCAAAGU